CGAGGUGUAGCGCAGUUUGGUAGCGCACAUGGUUUGGGACCAUGGGGCCGGGGGUUCGAGUCCCUUAUCCACCCCAA
rnacentral:tRNA from 1 species